GCGAGUCAGUGCUCGGGUUACCCGAGCACGGCGCACGGCUCAGUAAAACAUGCCUAAACUACCCUAUGGACCGGGAUAUCCCCUGGAAACGGGGGGUAAUCCCGGAUAGAUAUAGGGUGCUGGAAUGCCCCUAUAUCGAAAGUGCACAGACAGGAUGUUGUCUGUGCAGCCAUAGGAUGUGGGCAUGGCCUAUCAGGUAGAUGGUGGGGUAACGGCCCACCAUGCCUAAGACGGGUACGGGCUGUGAUAGCAGGAGCCCGGAGAUGGGUUCUGAGACAAGAACCCAGGCCCUACGGGGUGCAGCAGGCGCGAAACUUCUGCAAUGCGCGAAAGCGCGACAGAGUCACCCCGAGUGCCAUCCGCUGAGGAUGGCUUUUGCCCCGUGUAAAAAGCGGGGCGAAUAAGCGGGGGGCAAGUUCUGGUGUCAGCCGCCGCGGUAAUACCAGCCCCGCGAGUGGACACGACGAUUAUUAAGCCUAAAGCGUCCGUAGCCGGCUCUGUAAGUCCUCCCUUAAAUGGCACGGCUCAACCGUGCCGCUGGGGAGGAUACUACAGAGCUAGGGGGCGGGAGAAGCGGGCGGUACUCGGGAGGUAGGGGCAAAAUCCUUUAAUCUCCCGAGGACCACCAGUGGCGGAGGCGGCCCGCUAGAACGCGCCCGACGGUGAGGGACGAAAGCUGGGGGAGCAAAAGGGAUUAGAGACCCCUGUAGUCCCAGCUGUAAACGAUGCCGGCUAGGUGUUGGGUGAGGUUAGUCCUCGCCCAGUGCCGCAGGGAAGCCGUUAAGCCGGCCGCUUGGGGAGUACGGCCGCAAGGCUGAAACUUAAAGGAAUUGGCGGGGGAGCACCACAAGGGGUGGAGGCUGCGGUUCAAUCGGAGUCAACGCCGAAAACCUUACCAGAGGCGACAGCAGGAUGAAGGCCAAGCUAAAGACUUUGCCAGACGAGCUGGGAGGUGGUGCAUGGCCGUCGCCGGCUCGUGCCGUGAGGUAUCCGGUUAAGUCCGGCAACGAGCGAGACCCCCGCGCCCAUUUGCUAAGCCGGUUCUUUGAACCGGCUGCACAAUGGGCGGACUGCCGGCGUAAGCCGGAGGAAGGUGGGGGCUAGGGCAGGUCCGUAUGCCCCGAAACCUCUGGGCUACACGCGGCCUGCAAUGGGUGGGACAAUGGGUACCGAACCCGAAAGGGGGAGGUAAUCCCAGAAACCCACCCUCAGUCGGAAUCGUGGGUUGCAACUCACCCACGUGAAUCGCGGAAUCCCUAGUAAUCGCG
rnacentral:rRNA from 1 species